rnacentral:rRNA from 1 species
UACAGAGGUCACAAGCGUUAUCCGGAUUUAUUGGGCGUAAAGCGUUUCGUAGGUGGGUUAAUAAGUUAUCCUUCAAAGACUACGGCUCAACCGGAGGAAGGGGGGUAAGACUAUUAGUCUUGAUUUUUGGUGGGGUAUCUGGAACUGAUGGUGUAGUAGUGAAAUACGUUGAUAUCAUCAGGAACUCCAAGGGCGAAGGCAGGAUACUAACCAAUUAAUGACACUGAGGAACGACAGCUAGGGGAGCGAAAGGG